rnacentral:lncRNA from 1 species
UUUUUUUUUUUUUUUUUUUAAUAAGGGCCACAUCUGCAGCAUGUGGAGGUUCCCAGGCUAGGUGUCCAAUUGGAGCUACAGCUGCUGGCCUACACCACAGCCACAGCAACACAGGAUCCAAGCCAUAUCUGUGAUCUGCACCACAGCUCACAGCAAUGCCAGAUCCUUAACCCACUGAGUGAGGCCAGGGAAUGAACCCGAAACCUCAUGGUUCCUAGUCAGAUUCAUUUCUGCUGUGCCAUGACGGGAACUCCUUCCCUGAUGAUUUUUAUAGAAUUCUGAAUGUUUGGUGGACCAGAACAUUAGGGUCUGAAAUUUUCACUCUUGUUUGGCAGCCCAGAACCUCUCUAAACUGCUAUGGCUGCUGCUGAGCAAGAGGAGGAAGCCUUUGAGCAAGGCCCAGCCUCCACCCUGAACUGUCUCCAGCUCUUCCUCCACACAACUGAUGUGUCCCCCUGCAGCCUCCCCAUUGCCUCAGGACACUGUCCUGGACAAAGGCCAGCCCUGUUCUCAAGGCACUUCUGGUUCAGUGAGUAGCCAAAAGAGCAGAUAGACGAGCCCAGGGAGGAAGGGAUGGAGGCAUGCAGCAGAGGAGUCCCACCCAGGGGACAAGAGCACACUCCUCUUAUCAGCUUCUGGCGAAGGAGACUCGUAUGUUCUGAGCAUUGUGUGCCAGGCUCUUCCUGUUGCAUAUAUGACUGUACUUCAUCCAUCAUCUUGUGAGGCCACUGUGAAAGUAGCUCCACUCUAGGCAGGUACAGCCAAGAACAAAGGAUUCUCUCUACCUUCAGUAUCCAGUUGAGAGCUACAGUAUCUCUCUGGGAGUGGCAGACCACCAGCAUUUCUCAUCUUCCUCACCUCUGUGUGUUGCAGCAGCUCUAUUCCAGGGGAUAAAAACCAGAAGAAAUAAUUGCAUGAGAUGAUGUGGUCACUUUUGAAGGUAAGAGACUGCUGUCUUUGUUGUAACCCUUUAGCACAGUUUGACUCUGUAAACACUUUUCACAUAAGAGUUUGGGAAGAUAAAAAUUAAUUGGAAGACGGAUGAGGAGAAACCAUGACAACAAUAGGGGGUCUUCCCUUUUGAGAUGCUCUGUCUUCCCAAAUGCCCCCUUUAGAAUUGAGCAUACAACCCCAUCCAUCUUUUCAGCCAUCUCUCAAAGGGCAUUCUUACCCUGUGAGGCAGGUAGUGAUAAGAGUUUUCGUGAGGGUCAAAAGAGGUGGUGCUUUGUAAACUACAAAGUUAUAUGUGGUUUAGAUGGUUGUUAUGAGGCAAGACAGAAGUAAAUAUCCCCAUGUUACAAGAAAAUGGACACCCCCAAAAGGGGAGUAGUCCCUCAAACUGCACAGCUGGCAGAGCUGGAAUUCUGACUCCAUGUCCAGCUUUCACUCAGCUGGCAUCAGCCCAGGCACCUCUUAGCCCUCAUAUUCCCUUCUCCCCCCGCUGACCCCACUGUGCCUUCAGACACUUUCCAUGCCUUCCCUGGCUCUGAGCCCCAUCUUGGGGGUGAUUAAUAUGAUGUCAUCAAGACUGAGCUCUCAUCCUGGUCACACUGUGAGCCCUAAUCCUGGACUGAUUCCUGAUUCUGGUUGCAGACUGAGCCCCCACCCCUUGCCACUAACUCCCUUAAUAGUGUUUAGAGCCAAACCUAAGAUGGGCCAGGCCUAGAAGACAUGGAUGGCUGAGUUCUGUGCCUCUCCAGGAGCAGGGUUGGUGUAGCUGCAGCCUGGCUAAAUGCUCUGGCAUGGUUUCCCUCCAUCCUGGACUAGACUCAAAGCCACAGCCUGUGCCCAGUCCAUUUCUGUCCCCUCCCACUGCUCUUCCUUGUGUGGGUGGGGGAUUGUGGGGCCCAUGGUACAUGUUGAGCAGAGAUUGUCUGAUGAGUCAUCCUUGCUCAAAACAAAGGAGUCUGGCAUGGACAGUACUUCUGGCUUCUCUGCUGCAAGGGAAUAACCUCUCCAACCCAAAUGUUCAAGUACAACCUUGACCUGGCUGUUUCACACCUUGGGCUCUUCAUUCCCCUCCCUCACCACGUCAGCUUUUCUUCAACAUGAUUUCUCGGAGUUGCCAGAAAACGGGCUUGUUGCAGCUUUUGCCCUGCUUUUAGUACUGGCACCUCCUGUAGGAUCAGUUGGAAGGCAAGGCUGACUUCUAACCACUCGUGUCUCUUAUCCAUGCCAGGAGAGGUGGAAGGUCAGGGAAUGGGCACUGGCAGAUGCUACGUCUGGAGAAGUUGGAGGGAAGAAGAUAAGGGAUGGUAGGGGUCAUGAUCUUGGUAUAUCAUUGAGUCAUAAAAUGUCAGAGCAGCCGGGAUGCUGAAAGACUUCCCCUCCUGCCACUGUGUCAGACAGAUGGAGAAACGAGGUCCCUGGCAGAGGCAGAGGAACAUUCCCAAGAUCCUACAGUAACUUGAUCAGAUUGGGGGUCAAAGUGUGGAUUCUUUGUGCUGAAGAUCAGCCUUGGGCAGAGGGGGCAGGUUCCAUGGCCCUAAAGCCAGAAGAGGACUCCUAGAGAAGGCCCAGGAAGAUAGAAGGAGGGGCUCCAGGGAAGGAGGACCUGGGAGUUUUCCAGCCCUGGGACCUCUGGUUGGAGGGAAGUAAGGUUCCAGUUCCUCAUCAUCAGAUACAUAGCAAGCACAGCCUGGGUCAGAAUAUGGGGAUGUGCCCAGCCAUACAGUGGGGGGGAGCUUGCUUGCUCUCUUGGCCAUGUUUUGCUUUGUGGGGGUUAGAACCAGUUGUGUUCCCCACAAUCCUGGGGUUCCUUUGCUUGACCUAAGAGUCUGCUCUCCUUGCUGAACCCUCAAGGCCCAAAACAGCUCACUUGAGCAAUUCUGCAGCUGCCUCUGGCUGGUCACAGGCCAUGGGAGAUGUAAGAGACAUCUGGACCCAUAGUAAGAGUAUGUAUUUGAGGAGGAAACUUGGGAGAGGGCCACCCUGGUGGGGGUUGCUUAUGGGAGCAGACUGGCUCAGAGAAAAUCACGGCAGGGGUGGGAAGCCUGUCCCUCCUCCAAGCCAAGGGUCUGGGCUGCAGGUUUAGGGUGGCAGGGGGCACUUGGGCUCUUGCCUCAGUGCUGCUACCUGGUGCCUACAUCAAAGACUGCUUUGGCAGCCUCUGGGCUGUGUCACCCUGGGGGCCAUCAUUUCCCCACCUAGUUCAUUUACAUGUCUCUCUGCCGCUAGGCUGGCAACUCUUUGAAAGCCAGAUAUUGCAGGGUGGGUUCUUUGGGAAACAGACUGUGACUCGAGGUUUAUCAUGUUGGAUGUUCUUUAGGGAGAGCUCUUGAGAUGGAUGCCUGUAGAAGGGAGGGGGAAGAGGCAGAACUGGGCAAAGGGAGAAGUUGAGCUAUAAUGCAGGCCCCAACCUAGCCUUGGAUGCCUCAAUGGAAGGUCUGGAGUGGAAUGGCCCAUCACAUUCCCACACUGGGUUGAAAUAGCUGGGCCUUUAUACCCCAAAUGGAUUGAUCUUUGCAUAUAGAUCUCCCAGAGCAGGACAUGACCUCAAGUAAAGCAAGUAUCUGCCACUGAAGCACCUGGAGGGGCUGACAGCCCACAGAACUCCUGCUGGUGUUCUCCUGCCCACAGAACUCCAGAGUGGGCAUCCCCUCUCUGUCUACCUUGCUGGUUUCAGUUCCCUUUUGAGGAAUGCUAGUUCAAGGAAUUAAUAGAUUGCUUUGAAAGAAGCCCCUAAAAUAUUUUGGCCUCAUUCUCCCUAUCUCUUAAAUGGGCAUAUCUUCUACAUUUAGGUUAUAAAAGGCAAAGCUCUUUAUAAACACCACACCCCGGAGUUCCUGUCGUGGCGCAAUGGUUAACGAAUCUGACUAGGAACCAUGAGGUUGCAGGUUUGAUCCCUGGCCUUGCUCAAUGGGUUAAGGAUCUGGCGUUGCCGUGAGCUGUGGUGUAGGUUGCAGAUUCAGCUUGGAUCCCUCGUUGCCGUGGCUCUGGUGUAGGCUGGCAGCUGCAGCUCUGAUUAGACCCCUAGCCUGAGAACCUCCAUAUGCCACAGGAGUGGCCCUAGAAAAGGCAAAAAGACAAAAAUAUAUAUAUAUAUAUAUAUGUAAACACCACACCCCAUGGAUGUAUGAAGCCUCCCUUCAGUUCUCUUUCAGUUGACCCUGCACUGAAAGGUAUUGGGAGCACUGAAGGUAUUGGGGGGAGUGGAGGGUAGGUGGGGUGGACGUGGCAGUUUGUGGUUGAUACUUUAGGGGAAACCACAGCUGCCUCUUAUUCAGGGCUGUCAGUGAGGCCAGGGGAGGGGAUGUUCACAUGCCGGAUGGGCCGUGGGCACUGAGUCACCACCCAGAGGAAAACCACAGCUUCAAAAGCCCCAAGGCGCAAGGAAGGGUGGCAGAUGAGCUGGAUGAGAGCCAGGCCUCAGGAGCGGGGAUUUGGACAGCCUCCUUACCUCAAGGGCUAGUCCUGUUCCAGCUUGCAGGGCAGCACCUACCAUAUGCCAUUAGAAAGGCUGGCUUGGUCACACAUCUCUGUGCAGCAGAACAGAGCAAGAGCUGGUUGAUCCUGGAAAAGAACCAAGCCUCUCUGGUGUCUAGUUCCCCACUCCCUGGGAAAAUGGGGACAAUUCUUGAAUUGGAGAAAAUUCAUCUAAAGUAUCUGAAGACACAUAAUCUGCAACUUUGCUAAUAUGAUAAUUUUACUAUCUUCAUUAUAGUCUAGAGUGGCUGCUAUCUGUCACAUUGCAUUCAUCUACUGAUUCCUCAAUAAUUGCAUAGUAAUCCUCCUCAGGCAGUGUUUUCCUUCUUUGUAAGAAGAUGAAAUAUUCUCAAUUCUCAUCUUAUGCAAUGAAAGCUAAAAUAAGGAAAGAUGAUGUCUCCAUACUUCUUUACACCUUCUUGAAAGAUGUCUAAUGCUUUGGAAAAAACAAUUAAAAAACUAAAGGAUGGUGGAAUAGUAAUGAUUUGUGUCACUAUUGAAUCAUUCUCCAGGCAAUUUCAUCAUUCUUCUGUUUUCUUAUUACUUUUUGAAAAUUUAUUUAUUUAUUUAUUUAUUGCUUUUUGGGGUCACACUCACAGCAUGUGGAGGUUGCCAGACUCGGUGUCAAACUGGAGCUGUAGCCACCGGCCUACACCACAGCCACAGCAGUGGCAGAUCUGAGCCACGUCUGUGACCUACACCACAGCUCACUGUAAUGCUGGAUCCUCAACCCUCUCAACGAGGCCAGAGAUCGAACUCGCAUCCUCAUGGAUGCUCGUCAGAUUCGUUUCUGCUAAGCAUGGGAAACUCCUGUUUUCUUAUUAUUUUAAACACUUUUAAACAUUUAUCUUUAUUUUUUAUUAUAGUUGAUUUACACUGUUCUGUCAAUUUCUGUUGCACAGCAAACUGACCCAGUCAUACAUCCAUAUACAUUCUUUUUUUCACAUUAUCCUCCAUCAUGUUCCAUCACCAAAUGAUCAGAUACAGUUCCUUGUGCUGUACAGCAGAAUCUCAUUGCUUAUCCAUUCCAAAUGCAAUAGUUUGCAUCUAGGAACCCCAAACUCCCAGUCCCUCCCCUUCCCUCUUGGCAACCACAAGUCUGUUCUCCAUGUCCAUGAGUUUGCUUCUUUUCUGUAGGUGGAUUAAAGUCUAGAUAUGUGAUAUCAUGUGGUUUUUGUUUUUCUCCUUCUUACUUACUUCACUUAGUGUGAGAGUCUCUAGUUCCAUCCAUGUUGCUGCAAAUGGCAUUAUUUUUUUCUCCUUUAUGGCUGAGUAGUAUUCCAUUGUGUAUAUGUACCACAUCUUCUUAAUCCAUUCGUCUGUCAUUGGACAUUUAGGUUACUUCCAUGUCUUGGCUAUUGUGAAUAGUGUUGCAGUGAACAUAGGGUGCAUGUAUCUUUUUCAAUUAAAGCUUUGUCUGAAUAUAUGCCCAGGAGUGGGAUUGCUGGAUUAUGUGGUAGUUCUAUAUUUAGCUUUCUGAGGUACCUCCAUACUGUUUUCCAUAGUGGUUGUACCAAUUUACAUUCCCACCAACAGUGUAGGAGGAUUCCUUAUUUUAGACUCUUUCUAAAGCAUGAUUAAGAGUAAUUAACAUGUAAUUAUGGAAAAUAGUUCCUAGGAGGAUUAAACAGCAAAUAUUCUAAGAUCUAAGAAAAAGAAGAUUAUUAAAGGUCAUGAUAUAUUUUUGGAUUUGUAAAGGAUCCAAUGGAUUGAUAUGAUAAUUUUAAGAUAGAAUAAGCUUCAUUCGAUUGAAAAAUAAUUGGGGUUCCCAUCAUGGCUCAGUGGUAACGAAACUGACUAGUAUCCAUGAGGUCGCAUUUUUGAUCCCUGGCCCCACUCAGUGAGUUAAGGAUCUGGUGUUGCUGAAAGCUAUGGUGUAGGUUGCAUAUAUGGCUUGGAUCUCACAUUGCUGUGGCUGUGGUGUAAGCCAGAAGCUGCAGCUCUGAUUCACCUCCUAGCCUGGGAACUUCCAUAUGCUGUGGAUGUGGCCCUAAAAAGAAAAAAAAAA